rnacentral:rRNA from 1 species
AUUGAACGCUGGCGGCAGGCCUAACACAUGCAAGUCGAGCGAGCGGCGGACGGGUUAGUAAUGUAUGGGGAUCUGCCCGAUUGAGGGGGAUAACUACUGGAAACGGUGGCUAAUACCGCAUACUAUCGGAUGUACCCAUAUGGGAUUAGCUAGUAGGUGGGGUAAAGGCUCACCUAGGCGACGAUCUCUAGCUGGGCUGAGAGGCUGACCAGCCACACUGGGACUGAGACACGGCCCAGACUCCUACGGGAGGCAGCAGUGGGGAAUAUUGCACAAUGGGCGCAAGCCUGAUGCAGCCAGGCCGCGUGUAUGAAGAAGGCCUUAGGGUUGUAAAGUACUUUCAGCGGGGAGGCGUUACCCGCAGAAGAAGCACCGGCUAACUCCGUGCCAGCAGCCGCGGUAAUUC